rnacentral:rRNA from 1 species
CAGCAGUGGGGAAUUUUGGACAAUGGGGGAAACCCUGAUCCAGCCAUCCCGCGUGUGCGAUGAAGGCCUUCGGGUUGUAAAGCACUUUUGGCAGGAAAGAAACGUCAUGGGUUAAUACCCCGUGAAACUGACGGUACCUGCAGAAUAAGCACCGGCUAACUACGUGCCAGCAGCCGCGGUAAUACGUAGGGUGCAAGCGUUAAUCGGAAUUACUGGGCGUAAAGCGUGCGCAGGCGGUUCGGAAAGAAAGAUGUGAAAUCCCAGAGCUUAACUUUGGAACUGCAUUUUUAACUACCGAGCUAGAGUGUGUCAGAGGGAGGUGGAAUUCCGCGUGUAGCAGUGAAAUGCGUAGAUAUGCGGAGGAACACCGAUGGCGAAGGCAGCCUCCUGGGAUAACACUGACGCUCAUGCACGAAAGCGUGGGGAGCAAACAGGAUUAGAUACCCUGGUAGUCCACGCCCUAAACGAUGUCAACUAGCUGUUGGGGCCUUCGGGCCUUGGUAGCGCAGCUAACGCGUGAAGUUGACCGCCUGGGGAGUACGGUCGCAAGAUUAAAACUCAAAGGAAUUGACGG